GGGCCCGUAGCUCAGCAUGGUAGAGCAGCUGGCUCUUAACCAGUUGGUCGAGGGUUCAAAUCCCUCCGGGCCCA
rnacentral:tRNA from 1 species